CCUGAUCAAUGAUGAUGCCUAUUUCAUAGUGACUGCUGGAUGAAACUUGCGGAUAUGGGACUGAGAUCUGUG